rnacentral:rRNA from 1 species
UACGGAGGGGGCUAGCGUUGUUCGGAAUUACUGGGCGUAAAGCGCGCGUAGGCGGCUUUGUAAGUUAGAGGUGAAAGCCCGGAGCUCAACUCCGGAAUUGCCUUUAAGACUGCAUCGCUAGAAUCCAUGGAGAGGUGAGUGGAAUUCCGAGUGUAGAGGUGAAAUUCGUAGAUAUUCGGAAGAACACCAGUGGCGAAGGCGACUCACUGGACAUGUAUUGACGCUGAGGUGCGAAAGCGUGGGGAGCAAACAGG